rnacentral:lncRNA from 1 species
GGAGAGAUUGAGAUCCAUCACACACACAUAAUCACACACAAUGCAACCCUUGCACACAGAAAAACACACAAUGCAUUACACACACAGAAACACAUACACAAGCAAUGCAACCCUUACACAUAAUGCAUCCCUUACACACACAGAAACACACAAUGCAUUCAUUACACACACUCAAUGCACCCCUUACACACAUUCAAUGCAUCCCAUACAUACACAGAAACACACCUUGCAGUCCUUACACAUACAAACACAAUUUCACACAAUGCAUUCCUUAUACACAUAUCAGGACAUCCCCUACACACUCCACCCCCUGUGAACAAACUCAUUGGUGGAACAUGAAGGUGGACCCUGGGACCCAGACCUUGAUCUGUGUAAAGGACCCCCAAAAAAUGGAGCUGCUUCCAGUUCUCCCAGAACGUUGAUUUUUGUGACCACAGUUACAAACCGCCUCCAGAGAGCCUGUUCUGCACCAGACCAGUGGAGCCAGACUGCAGCUAGAGCCCAUCAUCAUCCUCAUCUGGUUGUAAGUAGGCAAUCUAGUAUAUUAUUCAUGGCACUAAUCUCUAAUUUACCUCACAUUUAAGAAACACUAUAGUCCCCAGAACCACUGCAGCUUAAUGUAGUGGUUCUGGUGUCUAUAGCCUGUCCCUGCAGGCCUUUUAAUGUAAACACGGCGGCACUGCAGCACUGACUGCAGUACUGGCGUUAGUUAACAUGGCAGAUCAUAUGGGUGGGGCAUUGCGAUGUCCCGGGGGAGGGGGGAGGCGGCAAACUUUACUUUUGCCUAGGGCGGCAAAAAUCCUUGCACCGGCCCUGCAUACAUACUAGCAAUGGGCAGUGGUGAUAAGCUAAGAGUCAGUAAAGGCAGAUUGUACUCUUAGUCUAUAACUGAUGUUCAUCACUGCCUGGGCCAGUAGCCAAAGCAUCCAUAUGCAUCCACAUGCAUUGUUAUUUUGUUUAACAUUAAACAGAUGAAGUUAAUCUAUUCUCUCCCAUUCACUACUUUUCCUUGCUUUUGUUACUCUUCAUAGGGAGAUACAUUCAUGAAUUUGGCUGGUACUUGACCCAAGUCUGGUUCCUCGGCUUAAAUCACUGUUGCCUAAAUGGAAUUCUGUAGGACAGAAUUUAUUUGUUACUAGACCCCAGCUUUCCUGAAACCACAAUAAAUGCUGUUGAAGCUAAUGGUAAAACAUAUGGGCUAGUCUCUAUUUGUUUCCUUUAUGCUAUGGACAUUUCCCCAGCUAUUGCACUUUAAGGCUACCAGUGUUCAUAUCAGAUAGGCAGGUCACCUGAUGUCUGAAGUGCAACUUCAGUUUCAUGCAACUAGGAUUAGGAAAACGUUCUUGGAAUUUUGCCAUGUGUUAGUCAAGAGUCAUGCCAAAUUACAGAUAAAAAUAAAAACAGAAGUUAUAGGCGCUCUCUAUAGUACAACAAAAUAGGCAAGGGCUGCUGUAUACAGUACAAGGAUUCCCAGGACCUUGUGUGAUAAUAGAACAAAAGAAUAUGGCAUAUACUGCCCAUAAAAUUUUUUACGUACAUAGAACCGCAGGAAAUAUGGUAUAACCCUCAGGAUAAUACAAAAAGAAAAAGAAAAACAAUAAUGGUACAGUACAAUUGGAUAAAGUGCAAAAUAGUAGGUAGGUGACUGCAGUAGAACCACUCACAUUUGGUGGAGCUAUAUUAGAGCUGUGCUAUAUUGCGCGUGGACAGUAUGAUCCCCGUCUAAGGAUAUAGGGUGGUAUAGGUGGUACUGGUCCUCCAGAAGCAAAUGUAGGUAUUGAUGGUACAUAUAGGAGUAGAAGAGCAAAACACAAACUCUGAUAGUGUAGUAAGUACUAUAAACUCAAACAAAGAAAAAAAGUAAUGUACUUACAAUAUAUAGAGCAAGGCCUGCUCUGGUUAUCACAGCAUAGGUGGUAUAAUCCCCACCUAGGGAUUUGUAGGUAUCAGGUAGCGAGCAGGAUACAAAGCAGGAUACUGGAAAUGACUAUUUAUUGAAAGAAGUAUAAAAAAAUAUAUAUAAAACAUAAGUACAUAUAAAAUGUUCAAGAGGUAAGUCCCACUUGACGUGUUUCGCCUCUCCAGAGGAUUUAUCAAAAGUGUCACAGAUAAUCACAGAUAAAUACAUGUCCAGGUUUAUUUUUUAUAAAAUAAAAGGGCAUUUUAGUUCUAACAUUACCCUUAAAGCAAUUUAAUUGCAGUGUUAAUAAUAUAAAUGUUGACAUGUCAGCAACUGCCAAUGAUCCUCUGAUGCUGACACAUAGAUUACAAUUCUACUGUUUGUAUUUCUUUGGCAGCAUUCCUAACGUUUAGUGCCUCAUAUUCAACUACCAGGCUUAAGCAACCACAAUCCUUCCAAAGAACAGUUAUCGACACACUAACAGGCCCAUCAGCCAGGGCCGGACUGGGGAUACAAAGCAGCCCUGGAAAAUAAUCAAAGCCAGCCCCAUAAGUCACUGCGCCAUGUAUUGUCAUAUGUAAUGGGGUAGGGGGCUAUGAGGUGGGUAGAGGGGCUGUAUAGUGGGUAGGGGGGCUGUGAGGUGGGUAAGAGGGCUGUGAGUUGGGUAGGGGGGCUGUGAGAUGGGUAGGGGGCUGUAUAGUGGGUAGGAGGCUGUAUAGAAUAGGGGGCUGUGUAUAGGGUGGGGGCUGCAUGUGUAUAGUGGGUGGGGGGCUGUGAGGUGGGUAGGGGGCUGUGGGAGGUUGGUGGGGCUGUAUAGUGGGUAGGGCUGUAUAAAAGUGAGUGGGGGGCCUUGUAUAGUGAGUUGGGGGGGCUAUGAGAUUGGGUGGAGGCUAUAUGAGUGGGUGGGGGUUGUACAGUGGGUGGGGGCUGUAUAGUGGGUGGGGGCUGUAUAUGGUGGUGGGGGCUGUAUAGUGGGUAGAGAGGGGCUGUAUAGUGGGUGGGGGGCUGUGGUGGGUGGGAUGGCUGUGGAGUUGGGUGGGGGCUGUGAGGGUGGGUGGGGGCUGUAUAGUGGGUGGGGGGGCUGGCUGGGGUGGGUGGGGCUGUAUAGAGGGGUGGGGAGCUGAGGAGGUGGGUAGGAGGGGCUGUGGGUUGGGUGGGGGCUAUGAGGUGGGUAGGGGGCUGUAUAGUGAGUAGGGGGUCUAUGAGGUGGGUACAGGGGCUGUAUAGUGGGUAGGGGGGCUGUGAGGUGGGUAGGGGCUGUAUAGUGGGUAGGGGGGCUGAAUAGUGGAUAGGGGACUGUGAUGUGGGUAUGGGGGCUGUAUAGUGGGUAAGGGGACUUUCUGUGAGGUGGGGGGCUGUAUGGUGGGCGAGGGGGCCUGAAUGGUGGUAGGGGGCAGUAAAAAGUUAAAUACCUUUUAGUUUGCUCUUGGACCGGUGGGCACAUUUCCAACAACGUGUGUGGGCGGAGCUUUGUGCAGGAGGCGGAGCUUCCAUUUGAAGGCGGGGCAUGCGGCCGAAAUUGUUCUAGACUGUGCACAGAGACUGACAGGUCUCCCUGUGGCUGCUGGCAGCCACACCAGCCCCCAGCUCCUUCCUCCCCUUAGGCUGACAGCCUGGCACAGUCUGAAGGGAGGAUUAAUCAGCUUAAUGAAGUGGUCUGGGUGUCUGGUCCAGCUAGGAUUAACCCAUUCUUUUAUAAACAUAGCAGUUUCAGAGAAACUGCUAUGUUUAUGACUGGGUUAAGCCUUCCCCCAAAGCCUCUAGCGGCUGUCUCACUGACAGCCGCUAGAGGCGCUUGCGUGCUUCUCACUGUGAUUAUCACAGUGAGAGCACGCCAGCGUCCAUAGGAAAGCAUUGUGAAUGUUUUCCUAUGCGACCUGCUGAAAGCGCGCGCAGCUCUUGCUGCGCGUGCGCAUUCAGCCGAUGGGGAGGAACGGAGGAGGAUCGGAGGAGGAGAGCUCCCCGCCCAGCGCUUGAAAAAGGUACGUUUUUACCCCUUUCCAUAGCCGGGCGGGAGGGGGUCCCUGAGGGUGGGGGCACCCUCAGGGCACUAUAGUGCCAGGAAAACGAGUAUGUUUUCCUGGCACUAUAGUGGUCCUUUAACACUACAAACCAACUGUAAAACAAACAAAUAUUGUAAAUACAAUACAAUACAAAUAUCAUGUAUUUAUUUUACAGUAUAGAGAGAGGUGCAUUUUAUGGCCAUUUGAUUUUCAGCUCAAGUGAGAAGAAGUAUCUGACAGAGGGAAAAAGAGUAAGAACUGCAAAUAAUCUAUAUUAAUAUAUUUACACAUUAUAUAUAUAUAUAUAUAUAUAUAUAUAUAUAUAUAUAUAUAUAUAUAUAUAUAACUCAUAGACAUAGAUUUCUACUGAUCCUCCUAUUUUUUUUUUUUUUUUUACUUUUUUGGUCGCUUCUGUGACUAAAGUCAACAUUUAGUGGCUGUCUCCUAACCAUCAAUCACCCUUUUUUCCCUCAAUCACUUUUUUAUUUGGUUACCCUGGACAGAAUUCUAAAUCGUGGAUGAAACUAAACCAUUUCAUUUAUUGUCCGUUUCAUUUAUUCUGUGAUUUGGUCAUCUGGUGAUUUGAAAUUACACAACUCUCAAUUUGGAUAAAUUGCAAUGCAAUCGAAAGGAAAUGCACAAGUCUAACACACACCUUUAAGAUAUAAACACACAACAAUGUCCAUAUGGAACAUAACAUGUUAAUACCACACCUGUCACUUCUUAGCACUUUGCUGUUAAUAACCUUUACGUUUUGAUGUAAUCAAAUAUACUACCAAGUUAUUCAUCUAGAAGGUGUGGUGUAACCUAUAAUGACCCCAUCUGCUGCAUUAACUAGAGCCAGUGAUAUAUACGCUCUAUUCUAUGUGAGUUGCUCAUUGGAAGUGAAAUUCCCAAAGUAAAAUUUCAUAGAUUUGCACUAUUUUUGUUUUUGUUUCUUUUUUUAUUCCAUAUUCCAUAUGUGGGUGGCUCCUGUGGCAUUUAAAUAAUUUAAAAAGGUAAUGAGCAGGCGCUCAUUGCUGUGCAUAGCUCUACUGUCCAUCUGGUGCCUCUAACUGUGGCCCCAGCUAACAGAGGGGAACCCCAAAUAACAAAAUAUAACUAGGGCUCCUUGAUGCUAGCAGGAAUUUAACCCAUGCUGAUACCUUUACUGCAUGAUGGUCUACGCCGUCACUAGGCGUCAAAGUCUUGCAUUGCAUGACGGCAUAGAACUUAAACAUGAACGGCUGUAGCGGUACUUACCCUUUCCAGGGGCCAGCCGGGGUCCUCUGUUCGAGCCGCGCGCGGUCCGGCUGCUGCACGAGCCGCACGCGGCUCAGCCGACCGCUGUGACUAGUAGCGGUCACGUGUUCCACCUACUCUAAGAGCGCGCCGCGGGUAUCGGGCGCGCUCUUAAAGGGACAGUGGGUGCCUAAAUUGGAAAAGGCAUCCCAUUGGUCCCUGUGAUGCCACACUCCCCAUACACUUACCUUUUGGGGGCGUGGAUGUGACAGGGACCAAUCAAAUUAGAUGUUUAGGUAUUUAUACUCACCUUCUUUCCUUUGUUCCUUGCCCUAUCGUGGUUUCUGUAUCAGUUCCCUUUAGCGCUUGUUGUGUGCAGUUGUGUUUCUCCGUAUUGACCUUGGCUUUGUUUCUGACUACGUUUUCUCUUUAUCCUUAUCUGUUCUGGUUGUCGGCUUGUUGUUUACUGUGUACCAGACCCGGCUUGUCCUAGUUUACGCUGUCUCUCUGUGCCCUUGAUUUCGGAUCGUUCCUGACUCUGUCUCCUCUCAUAUACGUCGAGUCCGGCCAUUCUAAGGUCCGGUAGACGUAUCUCUCCUCUGUGUUGUCUUUUGUUUUGCUGAAUCCUGCGUGUUGGGGUAUAUUCUCGUUACAUUACGAUAGGGCCAUGGACCCCGCAGAUUUGGCUCAGCAAAUGGCUUCUCACGAGGCAAGGUUUGUAGAGCAGGAUCACCGCAUGGAUCAGAUAGCACAGGCUCUCCAGACGCUCUUGUCUAGAACCAUUCCUGCAACCGCACCGAACCCUCCUACACCUCAUCCUCCCGAAGUAUCCAAUUCAACCAAUGCUUCGCCCCAUUUAACACCUCCUCCUAGGUAUGGAGGGGAAGCCAAGACAUGCACAGGUUUUAUUAAUCAAAUAGAAUUCCACCUUGAGAUGUAUCCUCAUUCCUUUCCCACUGAUAGGUCUAAAGUGGGGUUUUUGAUGCAUCAACUUACUGACAAAGCACUGGAGUGGGCAAAUCCUAUUUGGGAGGCCAAUGGACCUAUGGUUCAUGAUUUCAAUAGUUUUCUUGCGGCUUUUCGUAGAACUUUUGACACAACAAAGAGGUCAAAGAAUGCCGCAAGAGCAUUAAUAAGGAUUAAACAGGGGUCUAGGUCUGUGGCGGAUUAUGCUAUUCAGUUUCGUACCCUUGCUUCACAGGUAGAUUGGACCAAUAAUGGGUUAACUACUGCGUUCAUGGAAGGUUUAUCUGACACUAUAUUAGAUGAGGUAGCAGCAAGGGAGCUUCCUAUUCCAUUAGAGGAUCUUAUUGACUACCUCAUUGAUAUAGAUAAUAGAAUUCGCGACAGGCUCUAUACCAAAAACAAGAAUAGGCGUCUGGUCACAUCUAUUAACCCUAGAGUUGAUAAACCUGAGAGUGUUAAAGUACCCGAGGAGGAACCCAUGCAAUUAGGGGUUGCCAAACUCUCGGAUACUGAAAAACUACUUAGAAGAAGGAAUGGACUCUGCCUAUACUGUGGUAGGCGAGACCAUGUGGUAAGGGAAUGUCCUUUGCAUCCGGAAAACUCUCGCACCUAAGACCUUAUAGGGGACUGGCCUUGGGUGUGAUCUCUAAGUCUCCUAAAUUGCCUCCUAAUCGUUUGCUUCUCCCUGUUUCCCUUCAUAUGGGGGUGAGUUGUAUAGCAGAAUGCAUAUUAGCCUUGGUNNNNNNNNNNNNNNNNNNNNNNNNNNNNNNNNNNNNNNNNNNNNNNNNNNNNNNNNNNNNNNNNNNNNNNNNNNNNNNNNNNNNNNNNNNNNNNNNNNNNUGGCGGCCGCGGAGGGAGCUGCGCGAGCUGCGCUGGCUCUGCUCCCCAGCACGCAGCUGAAUGAGACCGGCGCCGAAUAUGACGUCAUAUUCCGGCGCCAUUCUCAUUCAGCAGCGCGCGAGGGCGGGAGGGCACUAACACAGGAAGCACCUCUAGUGACCGUCUGAGUGACUGUCACUAGCAGUGUCACUUUGAAGCAAUGUAAACACUGCCUUUUGACUGAAAAGUCAGUGUUUACGUUGAAAAGCCUGUAGGGACAUGCUAUAGACACCAGUACCACCACAUUAAGCUGUGUGUGUGCGUCUGCUAGUGAGUGAGCUUGCUUGCAUGCGUGUGCCUGCUAGUGAGUGAACUUGUGUUUUUAUGUCAAUGAGCUGAUGUAUAUCAGUAAGAUUGUUUGUCUAUGAGGCUGUGUAUCAAUGAACUUGUGUGUGUCACUGAAAUGUCAGUGAAAUUGCCUGUGUCUGCAUGUGCGUAUGCUCACUGUAUAAUUAAACGUUUUACCCUGAAAGGACCAAUAUUUAUAUUAGAAAAAGCAAAAUAUAUAUAUAUAUAUAUAUAUAUAUAUAUAUAUAUUACUCAAUCAUCUGUCCUGGCAAGACAUAGCCUUACAUAUUACACGCGACAAUAUAUGGCGCAGUGACUUAUGGGGCUGGCACAAAUUUUUUUUCCAGGGCUGCUUUGUAUCCCCAGUCCGGCCCUGCUUUUGGAUGAUUAUGUUUGCUCUGUGUUACCUAAACAUAUUCCAUAUUCAAGGUCAAUACAAAGAUCUCUGCAUAAACGGAAAUGUAGAGAUACGUGUACUAAAAAUAUGCAAAGCACCAGAUAUUAAAUAAUUGCUACAGCUUCGUAGUUAGAAGUAUUUAAUUAAUCUGUUGAGUAUAAGUUAUCACAAGUGCUCAAACUAAGUGUUUUAAAUAACCACAAAGUGCAAAAGUGCAUAUUAUUUAUCAAAAAAUGAAUUAAUUAUAAUACAGACAUUGUUUUACUUUCCUAUGAUAUUUGGUUCCAUGUAAAAAAUAAUUUUGGUAUAUUUUAAAUGAAUAUUAAUAAUGAAUAUUAAGGUUACCACCUUAACAUAGAUAGAUGCAAUUUAUCCGUUAUGUUUCACAUAUAUAAGAACAAUACUUUUCUUGAUGGUUUUGUUGAUAUUACCUUAUAUGAUAACUGGUAAUAACUAUAUAAUAUGGACUGUUAAAUGAGCUCCACCAAUGUUUUUCAAGUUCUGUACACAAAUAAAUGGAAAAAAAGCUAAACAAUUUGACCUAUCCUCUUUCGUCUGUUGUUUUUUUUAAAUUGUUUUGCUCCUUUGUGUUUGAUUUUUCUUUCUUAUGUCCUCUCUUACACAGUGUGAGAUAUCAUCAGGUUCAAGAAAAACCUUUAUAAGGUUGAAACAUUGCCAUUAUAUACAUGUAUAUAUAUAUAUAUAUAUAUAUAUAUAUAUAUAUAUAUAUAUAAAGGAACAAUUGUUGUGUGCUGGACCAUUUUUGGAUCACUCAGAGUUAACAUUGAUGGUCGUACAGAACACAACAUUUGAAAUACAGCAUGACACCAUAAACAGGUCAGAGGUAGGUAAAUAACUAUUGACUUAUUAUUCUAUAGGUGCAACUGUCAGGGUGGUGAUAUGUUUUAUGUUUUGGAUGUGGGCCAUUAUUUAGUUUUAGCUUCUUAUUGUACUGUUUGAGCUCCAAGACAGCUUUGACAGUGGUGCUCGCUCACACGUAUGUAUUUAGCUAAGAUAUAUCUAACGUCUAACACGGCAUUACCUGUCUAUAAAAUUUAACAGUGUUUCAUUGAAUAUCUCUUUUCUAUAUUUCCUACCAAAAGAAUAUUCAAUAAAUACAUUGAUGGUGACAAUUAAUAACGAAUGAUAAAAGAAACGAGGUCAGCUACGUGUUACCCAAAUGUGUUGUAACCUUAAAACAAUCUAAAUAAACUUAAAGAAUAUUUAUCAAGAUAUCAAGAGAUUUUCCAAGCUUGUUAUGAAAUAUAAUGUUUAUGCCAAAAAGUGACUAAUUGGCUACUAAAAAUGACUGGACAUACCCCAUUUGCAAUACCUUGAGUUGUCUACUUUUGCAAAUGGUAUGCCAUCAUGGGGGUAAUUCUCGUUCCUGGGCUACCAUACGGUCUCAAAGGCAACGUAACCAAUCUGGCAAAAUUCAAUGUGAAAAAAAUGAAAUGCAAGCCUUAUAUUUGACUCUCUAACUUUCCAAAACACCAUAAAACCUGUACAUAGGGGGUACUGUAAUACUUGGGAAACUUCACUGAACACAAACAUAAGUGUUUCAAAACAGUAAAACAUAUUACAACAAUAAUAUCGUCAGUAAAAGUGCCGUUCAUGUGUGAAAAAUGCAAAAAACUUCACUUUUACUAAAUAUAUCAUCAUUGUAAUACAAGUUACCAUUUUGAAACACUAAUAUUUGUGUUCAGCAAAGUCUCCCGAGUAAAACAGUAUUUUUAUAUAUAGAUAGAUAUAUACAGAAUGUAAUUCUAAGUGUAUUUUGUUACCAAUAUAUAUAUAUUAAUAACAAAAUACAGUUAGAAUGAGAUUACAAUAUUUUAUUUAUUUAUUUUAUUAUUUUAUUUAUUUAUUAUUGUAAUUAUACGUGUAUAUAUAAAUAUAAAAUAGAUAUAGAUGUCUUAUAUAUAUAAUAUAUAUAUCUUGUAUAUAUGUAACGUCAUUCUAAGUGUAUUUUAAUACUAAUAUAUGUACUUAUAUUAACAUUAAAAUACACUACAUAUAAUGUUAAAUAUAUAUAAGAUGUAUAUAUAUUAUAUAUAUAAUAUAUAUAUAAUAUAUAUAUAUAUAUAUAUAUAUAUAUAUAUAUAAAUAUAAAUACUUGUAAUUUCUUUUUUUUUUCUGUGCAGAGGUGGUUACAGGCAUGUGUCAAGUGCCACAACAGCACUCAGAAAUUGAGCAUCAGGUUCAUCACAGUGACAUUGCAAAGAAGUGCACAUUUUUGUUUAUAAGUUGGAAUUAGCAAGGAAUAACAGUAGCAUUAAUAAAGUUAGUAACCGUUUGGCAUAUAACAUUAAAACAUUGGAAGAGUAACAUUCUCAUGGCACAUAGCUGUAGCGCAGUGGGAGUGUAGCUGGUGUGGCUGUGGGGGGGCACUAGUUGUCGGUAUGAGCAUAGGUAGCCUAGAGUUUGGGCCUGGAGCGUAAUGUUCUGCCGUGUAUGGGCUUGCGCUGGGGUCGUGCUAUGCUGGUGGAAGCUGUGCUGUGUUGCGUGGUAGGUGGUCUUUGCUUGGUGUGAGGUCGUAGCGCCUGUGCUGUAGAGCCGGUUCUUGUAUGAUAGUGAUGUGGUACGCUGGUGGCCCAUGUGGUCUGUCCACCUGGUACCGAGCUACAGUGGGUGGUUUAGUGCCCCCGUCUGCUGCUGUCUAAGUGGCCCCUAUUACCGCGGAGGGGGGGGACUCAGAGGAGCUAUAUGUGAGUGGCUAUAAGGUGCCCUUGGCUGCUGUUGCUAGUGUGGGUGUUCCAUAACAAAAAGCCGCAAUAAAACUUUAUCAAUAAUAUGGUUUAACUGGUUUAUAAGUUCAAUGGGUGCAGCAAGUGGUGUUGCUGAGGUAUGGUGGUUGGUAAGCCGGGUGACUUCGGGGCUACCUCAGGUUUUGGCUGCUGAUUUGGUUGCUGUCACGGCUCGUCUGUGGACAAAUGGGACCACUGUUGCGGAGUUCCAGGUGGAGCCGUGAGCCGGCGUAGUGCUGGUCUCCCAUGGGGAGAUGAGAGACUGAGAGGAUUCCCAGUGUCGGUAGCAGUUCAUUUGCCUCUUGUAAGUCCCGGAUGGUAUAGGCCGCAUUCCUGUGGUUGAUUAGUAGUGUGCGCGAACCUCUCCAAUGGUAGAUGAUUUUAUGCUGGCGUAGGAGUGUGCGUCGCCAUGCCAGAGUGGAUCCCGACAGAUCUGCGUAGAAAGACAGCUGCAUGUUUUCGAACGGAUACUGUGAGUGGUUUCGUGUGGUCUACAUUACCGCCCUCUUGUCCCCGUGGUUUUGAAAACGAACCAGAAGGUCCCGUGGGGCCGUUGUUGGGGCCUUAGCUGCUCAUGGCAAGCGAAACAUGUUUUCUAUGGGCACCUGUCUUGCUUGCUUGGGAGGUAAGAGCGUCUGUAUUAGUCUCCGCAUUGUGUGAGGGAGCUCAGUCUUCGUUAUCGCCUCUCUAUUAUACCUCGGAUUUUAAUGUUCCAGCUGUGAAUCUGAUCCUCUAGUGUUGCAAUGCGCUGCUCGUAGGUAAGGUUCUGUAGUCGUUGUAGGUGGCCAUGUUUGGGCCUUGGGCGCUGAGCGCUUGCUUCCAUAUGUCGCCUAUACUUUGGUGUUGCCGCGGGUUGUCGGGCUUUGGCUUUUUAGUUUUGCGACCCAUAUCGUUAAUGGCAGUCCGCGGGUCAGUUUAGUGACGGUUUCGUUGAGGUGGGUUCUUGUUAGCAGGCCCAAAGUGCUCGUUCGCUGCGGAGCUCACUUGGUGUGCGGCCAUUCAGGUCGGUUGCUUGGCUCCUCCCACCUUGUCAUUUAUUUUAAACAUGUUUAAUUAAUUUUUUUUUAUACUUCCCACCAGCAGGGGGGCUGUCUGACAUUUCCUGGGGGCCUGAUUUGCCAGGGGAGGGCUGCCUGGGCUCCGAGCUCCUGGGGCUACAAGCCGUUACGGCAAUGGCUUUAAAGCCCAUCUAAUGCGGGAAGGCAUAGAACGCCGUAACAGCGUUAAGGGGUUAAAGUCUCCUUUCAAGUGUUUUAUUUUCUUUUUUUGGAGACAUAACCUUGCUGCAAUACUAGUUUUACUUUGUUACGCCUCUUAGAAAAUUGACUCUGCUGUGUUAGGUAACUUUGAUUCAAGAAAAAACAGAUUGCCUUAUAGGUCAAGAAGAGAUUUUUUUUUUUAUCCCUAUGAGGCAAAAUCAGAAACUAUCCUUGUUUUUUUUUUUGGUUUUUUUUUUCCUCUGGAGAAACCGUUAAAGGGAAUUGUAAAUGUUGAACUUGAUGGACUUGCAUUCUUUGUUUCUCUAAUCUAAUUAACAAUAACAAUGUAACUAUGUAAGUGAGAUUUUCAGACUUUUAGUUCAAUCUAUCAAAAAAUGUUCAAUUAAUCCAUCUAGCUAACGAUCUAUCUAGUGAGAAUAAGUCAUUAGAAUUAUGGGAAUCCUAAAUAGAUCAAUAAUAAUUACUGUUAAGUCAUUAAAUCAUCUUUAGAUAAAUCUAUAGGAAAUAAGAAUCUUCACAAGAUGUCUUCAUCAUCCUCAGUUGGCAAAAGCCUUUACCAUUUUACAGGCACUAUAGGUAAACUCUAUCAAUUUCAGUGGUUGCCUUGAGUAAAAAAAUUAGAUGCUUUAUUAAUUCAGGACCAUAAUCACUGCAACAAUCAUAUCUGGGUCCCUAGGGCACCUCCAAUUGGUUCCCCUUUUCAGAUAUUGCUAAAGCGAACUUCCCCUUCUGAUGUUGCAAUUAAGCUUAGAAUACCAGUUACAUUCACAUUGUCACUUAUUCAUCUGCACAUAAAAAUGUGAUUAAUGGCAUUUACUGUUCUGAGAGGAAAAGUUUUGCCGAGCAGCAAUCAAUCCACAGGAGGGUUUGUGCUGAGCAGCAAUUAUGCAAAUAGUAACUUGGUAACUGCCUUUGGGGUCAAAGGCAGAUUACAACCAAUCAGAUCCACAGGCGGGGUAUUUAGGCCCAGUUUUCCUCUUGCUCAGUGCCUUGUCGUGGUUUCCCUUGUGGUUAUCCGAGAGCGCGUUAUUGAUUCUGGUAAUUCUGGUUAUUUGACUUUGGCAUUGAUUUUGACUUCCCUGUUUUCUGGCAUCGCUGACCCCUGGCUUUUCCUUAUCGUUGUGUCUCUUUCUGUGUCCCUUGACCUCGGCUAUUCCUGACUAUUCUUGGUACGUUAGUCCGGCCAUUCUAAGGUUUGGUAUACGUUACCUAUCAGUCCUGUGUUACACAAUUCUACGUGCUGGAUCAUACUGUAAUCCUGACACACAUACUGUAUAUUGGACUGGAAAACGUACACUGAUCAGCCAGAGCAUUAAAAGCCAUUACAUGUGAGGUGAAUAACAUUGAUUAUAUCGAUAUAAUGGCACCUGUUAAGGGGUGGGAUACAUAAAUCAGCAAGUUAUCAGUCACUUGAAUUUCAUGUGUUAGAGAUGGGAAAAAUGAGCAAGUGAAAAUAUCUGAGUGACUUUGGCAAGGGCCGAAUCGUGAUGGCUAUGUGGGUCAGAGCAUCUCCAAAACGACAAGUCUUGUGGGGUGUUCCCGGUAUGCAGUGGUUAGUAUCUACCAAAAGCGUUGCAAGGAAGGCCAACCAGUGAACUAGUGUCAGGGUCAAAGGCACGCACGGGUCAUUGAUGCAAACCAAAAAAAACCUUAAUGCUGGCUAUGAAAGAAAGGUUUCAGAACACAAAGUGCAUAACAGUUUGCUGAGUAUGGGGCUGCGUAGCUGCACACCAGUCAGAGUGCCCAUGAUGACCCCAGUCUACUAUCGAAAGUGCCUUCAAUAUGUACUGGACCAUGGAGCAAUGGAAGAAGGGUGCCUGGUCUGAUGAAUUACAUUUCCUUUCAGAUCAGGUGUAUGGCUAAGUGCACGUGCAUCGUUUGCCUGUGGAGGAAAUGGCAGUAGGAUGCACUAUGGGAAGAAGAGAGGCCGGCAAAGGCAAUGUUAUGCUCUGGGCAAUGUUCUAUUGAGAAACCUUGGGUCCUGGAAUUCAUGUGGAUGUUACUUUUACACUUACCACCUACCUAGAGAUUGUUGCAGAACAUGUGCACCCCUUCAUGGCAAUGUUGUUUCCUGAUAGCAGUGGCCUCUUUCAGCAGGAUAAUGCUCCUUCCCAUGUUGCAACAUGACAAAAGAACAUGACAAAGUGUUCAAACAUGUUUUGGCCUCCAAAUUCCCCAGAUUUAUAUCCAAAUGAGCCUGUGUUUGAUGUGCUGGAACAACAAAUAUAAUCCAUGGAGGCCCCACCUUGUAACUUGCAGGACUUAAAGCAUCUGCUGCUAAAGUCUUGGUGCUAGAUACAACCAGACACAUUCAGAGGGCUUGUGGAGUCCAUGCCUCGACGCAUCAGAGCGGUUUUGGCAGCACAAGGGAGACCUAUGCGAUAUUUAGCAGGUGGUCUUAAUGUUGUGGCUGAUCGUUGUAGUUCAGUGGUCAGUAAACCCAUUAAAAUUAGAACAAAACCGGAGAUAGUUUUUUCACACAUUUGUCUAAAUACAUGUAGAUUAAAUAGUGGCAAUGCUAACACCUUGGGUGGGCACGGAUUAUUUAAUAUUCACAUUUUACAUCAUGUCCCCAUCAGUUAUACUAAUGAACGCCUGUAGUCUUUAAUCAGUGCAGAGUUAGAGAGAGUUGACAUGUACCUUGUAACAUAUUGUAAACAAAAAUAGCUGAGUAGAAAAAAAAUCUGCAACAUUUAUUUUCUUUGAGAUGAUUUCUAGAAAUAAUCGUUAUCACCUGAUCAUCUUCCUGCUUUACUACAUCCUAGAAGGGGAAGUGUCAUGCUUACAUUGUAUGUGUGACGUGGCAGUGAGAUGUACUGUCUACAUGCUUUUUGUAUCUAUCUCAUAUUAAAUUUUACUUCCUUGAUUGGGAGCUUCUUUAAAACGUUAGUCUAAGCACCAUAGCAACUACAUGCCAAUGCAAACCACCUCUUCCAGCUGAACUUCCACAUUAGCAAUAUCGAUAUCAUCAAUAUUUUCGCAUCAUUCUUUGGCAGAGCAGGUCAGCUGAUGAGUACAGCCAUUGAAUGGCAUCAAAAUAUGAAUGCAACAGAUAUUUCUAAUGAGUAAGUGGAAUUUAGGAAAUAGCAAUAAUUUUGGCAAGAGGGAGCAAGGCCAUAGGUACCUGCGUUUGGUCAGACAACGGAUUGAUCCCGCAGCUUAAUAGCACCAUAACUGCAACAUUGGCAUUCAUCCUUUGUUUGUCAUGCCUGUUAACUGUAUUUUUUGUUUGUCGAUUACUUGGUGCUAAACAUUACCAUAUGUAUGUAUAACAGUAAAGAGCUGCCAGAUAUAUGUUGACAAUGUAUAAAUUCUGAUAAUAAUAAUCCUGUAUUUUCAUGCAAAAUAUGGCACAGACCUCAUGGAAUGUGUGUUUAAUGGGACAUUCUAGGCUCUAUAUCUACUUUAUCUUAUUGAAGUGUUUAUGGAACUUGGAGUUUCAUUUUUGAAGUUUAAUAAUGAAUGAGGGUCCCCGGGUGCCAGCAGCACUUCUGGGCUGCCCAGGCUAGUGGUAUCGCAUUACCUCCUAGAGUGAUGGUAGCAGUGAUAGGCUAUGGUCAAUGGCAUGAGUUGGCAUGGUUAAGGUGGAGUGUAAUCUUCGCCUUAGACAUAUGUCUAGUGGGCACCAGGUUACGUGUGUCUGGGAACCCUCAUUCAGUGUAAAACUGUUUGAAGACAGUUUAAUACUGUACUCGGGGCAUCAUUACCACUGCAACGAGAUGAAGUGGCUAUAGGGCCCACAGUGUAGCUUUAAUGACUUGUUUGUUCUUUGUCUUUCUCUUCCACCUUGAUAAAAAUGAGAGCCAGAUAACUGCUCUCAUUCCACAGAAUGGGUUAAAUAGGUUUCAAUAAGAGGAGUCUUUAGUAUACUCACAAUGUAUCAUGAAAAAUAGGUAGCUAAUGAAACAACUGUUACAGAAAUACAGUCAGAUAAUCAACAGAUAAAAAAACAUCUGAGAGUAAACAACAUACAACAAACAUUAAAAGUCAAAGGCAAUGUCUGAUUUUUUGAGAAGAGAUGUUAGCAUUACUACCAUAAAGCCCCUUCUGCAUAAGACUAUGACCAUGCCCAUAGAUUUUGUAAUGCUUUCUAAAAUGAGAAGACUGGACCAUUUUUCUCCAAUCUAGAGUGGCUUCUCUUGUCUUUAAGCAUAACAAAACCAGAACCAGGCAUUAAUUGGACAAAUUCCCAGGCAGAUUUAUUGAAGCAUAGGUGCCAUGUUUUGGCUUUACAUGGAGCCUCAUGGACCUCCUGGGUUCUGGUGGAUCUCAGCUUUCGCCGAAGCAUCACUGCAUCGAACAGGUCCCAAAGUAUAUUAAACUAAUACUUGUAUAGUCCAACAAGAAUAAGGAAUGUCCAGAGAUCUCCAAUCUUCUGGCUACCUAGUAUAAAUUAAGCUGAUCCCACACACAUGGGGAUAAUAAGUAUAAUAAAAUUCUAUAACCAAAACAAUACACCAGGCACCCCAAAAUCAUGGAUCCUAGAACCACUUUUUUUUUAGUUUUGUUAAACUAUCAAGCUAACCAUUCUUAAACAGAAAAGGAUUACAGGGGUUGUAAUUUAAAAGAUGAUCAGUAUUUUCUCCUCUAGUGCUUAAUAGUAACAUAUGUUAUACUAUACCCCCGACCCAUUCAAAAAUACUUCACAUUACUAUAUAGAAUUUAAAUUCUGCAAGAUGGAAAUCAAUCCAUUGAUCAAUGAAAAAUCAGGCAGCAUAACAAUUCUAACUACUCUAGGUUAGCAAUUUUCAUAUGUUGCCCAUCAACACAAAGAUGUGAUACAUGUCCUGGAAAACUUGGCAAAUCUGACGACCACUGUUACACAGUAUUUCAAAACAAAUGUAAUUACAUUAAAUACAAACAGAUAAGAGCAAAACUUAUACAAUUAAAAUUCAGAUUUAUUCUGGAAAUCUUACAAAAAAAUUAUGUUUUUCAGUAAAUUAAGUAAGGUGAAGUCAAUCAUCAUAUUAAUAUCUUUUAAAAUAGGAUACUCAAUAAUUUAACUCUUUUUUUGUGGCCAUCAAGCCCAAUAAUCAGAAUUUCUCAUUAAACAUUGAAUUGUAGAGAACUGAGAAUUGUAAAUUGUUGGCCGAAAUAGUCAAUUGGGGGGGGGGGAAAUAAAAUACAGGUAUAUUUUUAGUUUAUUUGGUGUUGCCUGCAAUUUGCCAAUACCCAUGCGAUUUAGUGAAAAAAAUCAUAAUGUACAGGAAACUAUUGCAAAGGAAUGCACGGCAAGUCUGGCACUGAAGAGGUUACUUUUGCUCGUUGAAGGAGCUUAGAGGAAAUUGUAAGUCAUUUUGAUUCAGAAUAAGUCCCCCUCCUGCUCUCUUACCCGUUAUUUCAUGCGCCAAUUCCUAUGCAGAGCUGUGAUUUAUGGCAAACCACUGACCUCUGAAAAGGAGAGACUGGGAUGGGUGACUGGUUUUGAAUGGUGACACUGGCAGUUGACAAAAUGCCCCAAGCAAAAUGAAUUUACUCCCAGUUUCCUCAAUCAUCAACAGACAACCACCCACCCUGGCCCCCCUUCUGUCUCCCUCCCUCUCUGAGCUGACCCCCCAACUGAAUUCUCCUUAACAAGAUCUGCCUGCCAGCCUGGGAGAAAUUUACUGUCACUGCUAGUGUGUCCUGCGCAGAGUCCUGACAUCCCUGCUCAAUCACAUUAUGAAAGAAUGUCUCUUGACACAGUCCACUCUGCUAAAAGCCACCACAACAACUAUAUCUGGCCAACUGUGUUUGAAUGUCAGCACCCCAGCUGUUUACAGACACAACAUCCACACCACUGCUCAUGUACACAAUCACACUAUGUGCGUUUACAGCAGCACAAGCAGGCCACCCUUACUGAUCCAGGGCUAAGUACCCUGUGCCAAUGUAGCUUCUGUGGACUACAAUUCCCAUGAUACUUAGCCACACAAUUAUUGAAGAACAUUUUUUUCUCUGUAUUGAAAAUUCAAGGAUCAAGGCAGUCAUUUUGUCUUAAUUGGCAUUUUCUUAUAUGUUAGUAAUAGGGAGUUAAAAGGCAGUGAAUUGUGGUAAGUUGACAAUUGAAUCUAAGUCAAAACAUCCUAAUUGCAACGUGUCCCAAUUCUAGCUGAAUUGGAGUUUUUUUUAUUUCCAGCUCAGGUAUUUGGGAGUUAAUUAAGCAAGUAUGUUUUCAAUCUUAACAUUCAUAGAUAAUCAAUAUUGUGUGAAUUGUGAGGAAUUCUAAGUGAAUUCACAGUAAAUUUCUGAAAUUGUUUAAUGUUUUCAUUUUAGCUGUUAUGGCCUAAAAAUUUUAAUUUAACUUUCUGAUAAUUCACAGUUUAGAGUGUAACUCUUCCAGUGUAAUGAAUAAAUCCCCUUUAGGAAUUAGUUUACCCAUCUAUUUUGCAUUAUAGCUCUGUUACACAAUUUUGAUGAUAUUUAGGGUAAAAUUUUCAAGUGAACAUUUACUCCAGUUUUUCACAACAGUGUCCUAUACAGAUAAAUACGUAUGUUUUGUAUGUAUUAUUAGCACCCAAGUAGGAGUCAUGGUGAAUAGCACUGUAAGACUUCAACGUGCAUUAGAUGUUGGGGGGAAAAAAGUGUUUAUCUUCAGCAAAAAACUUUUAAAAGUUCUUUUAAACACUUUCAUCUUCCCCCAAAGGAACACUAUAGUCACCUAGAAGUCUCAAUGAAGAGGCCUGGGUGCAAUGCCCCUGUCCCCUUAAUAAUUCAAUCCUGUUUAAAACAUCGCAGUUUUUGGAAAAAGUAAUACUUGAUCACGUGACGCAGAGGCCCCAUUGGAAAGCAUUGACUCGAUGCUUUGUUGUAGAAAAUUGUGGAUGUGCAUGCAACAUUCACUGUACAUGCACAUUAGGUCCCCAAUGCUUCUCUAUAAAUUCCAUCAUCACUCCAGGCAUGGCCUCCUCUGUGGAGUAGCAGGGGGAGGUGAGCUCCCUCCGUACUAGAACAAGGGAAAUAAAUCUUAAUUUGAUUACAUUUUUAUUGGAACCUGGACAGACUAUGAAAGGACUAGUGACAAGUUUACAAUAGUGUUAGGAUUCCUAAUGCUAUAGUGCUUCUUUAAGGUAGACUUCCAGCAUUCACAACCCUCAUAUUCUGCACAUUCCAGUUUGUCUGCUUAUUCUAAUUCUUGCAUAUUCCAUGCUACAUUGUAUCAGUGGAUUCAUGGUCCAUGACUUGUAAAUAUAAUAUGCCUGAUGUGAAUGUGUGGUUAAGGAUGAUGACUGACAAAAAUCAUUCUUCAAAGACCCUUAAGAACUCAUAUUCAAAAAGUGCAACUUACAUACAGAUUGUAUUAAAAAAAAAAAAUGUAUAUUAACUGUCAAACAUUUGUCUUUUCAAUAUUUUGUUAGUAUAAUAAAGGCAUAUAUUUGACAUCUUAUCGACUGGACUAAUUGGACUAAUACAGUUAAUCAACUUACACACACACACACACACACACACAUAUAUAUAUAUAUAUUCCCUACUCCCACUUAUCUGACACUUUCAAUUUUCAAUCCCUAUGGUCUACCUGCUUCACAGCUCCCGGUUAUCGUCUUUUACAAUCUGUCCCAAGAGGGUAAGGAGUUAUUAUCCUUGUCUUCAGAAGAGAAAAGGGAUGUUAUAGACUGUCACUGAUAGAGCCAAGAUCCCACUGCUGAUCUAUAGCCUUGGAGUACAGGGCGCCAUGCACUCUGCUAGCCCUGUAUAUAUCCUAUGAAGGACAGUUACAGGAGCCAGGGCAAUCCAAGCAAAGUGUUCACUUAAUAAUCAAUUUGCAUUGCUCCCUGUGUGAGGGUUUGCCAGCUAUAAUAUAAUUAAGUUACAAUAUAACCCAUAAUGAGGUUAUCCAAGCUUUUGUAUUUACCUAUAGCUGUGCUUGUGUACUUGGCUCACGCAAGAAGCUGAUGUAAAUUAGGCAUAUAAUGAACAUAAGUCAUUUAUUAUAGAUGUAAAAUAGAUGUCGUUUUAAUCAUGUAGAAUAUGCAGUCCAACCAUACUGCGAUUUAAUCAUGGAACAGAGAGUUUUGUAGGGAACUAAAAAUCUAACGUCAUAAUUGGAUAUUGUUGCUUAAUGUUUUCUCGUUAAUUUGCCACAAUUUUCAAUUGACUCAAUAAGCCCUAUUGAGCUCUCUGCCACCCCCGCCCCAUUUUAAAUCUUAUAUUUCUAAAGCCAACAGUUAUAGAAAAGGUAUCUUAAUGGCUAAAUUAGGAUCAAAGUAUUUAUGUGUUUUUUCUUUUAUAGGGUCCUACUGGGCUUUUGCCCAACGAGGUCAGUACUUUAACAAACACUGAUCAAAGCACUUGGGAGAAUGAUACACUUAAUGAAAAAGUGAAAACAGAUUGAUCUCUUAAAGGAAAAUCAGACAGCAAACUAUUCAAUCACUUAAUACACACCUAUCAACAGCAAGCUGUCUUACUCUAUCAUGGAAGGUCAUUAAAAAACACUGAGACUUUAAAGCUGUCUUUCACAGCAAUAUGUAUUGGCACAGAGUGUGCUGUGGUAUAUACAGCAAAGAAAAUGUUAUUUCGAUAAAUCAUGAGCAGCAGCCCUUGCAGGAAAAGGAUCGUCCAACUUGGCUCAAGGAGUGAGCAGUGUCCCAUUAUUAAUUAUACCCAAAAUUGGUCACAGUCUGCCACAAUACAUUAGCAAUGUUCUCUCUUUAAACAAUACAAUAAAAAAGAGAUGUAUCAACUGCAGAUGUUACAGGUAAAUCAAUAAAUGAAGAAAAAUGCACUGAUCUUGUGUAUCUGUGCCCAGAGGGGACUAUUGCUUGCUCCUGGCUCAAACCAACUGGAUUCCUGAACCCAACUCUUUCUCUUUCUUUCUGAACACCAUAGCCGUUUUGUGAUACCCUACUAUUUUUGGUGAGUCUUGGAACUAGUGGUUAUUAGAUAGCGGAGACUUAUUUGAUUCAACCACAUCAUCAGUCAUUAAUGAUUACCAUAAGGUCCGGAAUGGAGAGCUAGGGAUUCCAAUCGGCCAUUUCUCUUCCUCUUUAUUCUUAUAAUUAUUUUCUUAAUUAUUUUCCCUAGAUUGUUUGUCUCUCUGCCGCAUGGAGGUUCUCUACCAGAUGGGCUUGCAUUGUUUCUUUUGUUGGUGCACAUUUUGACAUAUUAAUCUAUUUGGAAUCCUUGCAUGGCUACACUUUAUUUAUAGUGUUUUGCAUUGUCAUGUGCAAUAUUUCAAGAACCCUGUAUAGUAUUCUUCCUUUUCGUUAUCUCAGAACUUAUUGUUGGAAUUGAGGGAUAGUAGGGUUUUUGGGUUCCAUUCUGGGUUAAGUUUUCUUCCCUCUUCACCCUGUUCACUGUCCCUGAGAUCAAUACUUUUAUUCAGCUCUAACUUAUUGUUCCAAUGUCAAGACUCUUCACAUCAAGAUUUAUUGACUGCUGCCACAAGGAGGGAUUACAUGCAACAGGAUAGCCACAAGAUGACUAUGGGUGGAAUAGGCUUCUUAUUGGCAGACUGCAAGUUUGGAAAUUAUUCACGUAUCAUUAUUGUAGGUUUUAUUGCUAUUGUAAAACUUCCCACAAACAGUUAUUAGCUUGAGCUGCCGUUAGGUAAUAUAUAAAUAUAUCCCAUUAUCUUUUUGUUUUUACCAGUGUGCCAUUAUUACUGUCUGUAUAGGAGUUUGUAUUCACAGUCUCAGUGUGCUAAGUGUUCAACACAAAUGUUUGUGUUCCUUCCAUUCUUCCUUCCUUCCAUUCCUUCCUUGUCUCCUUUCUUCCAACCUUCCAUUCCUUCCUUCCUCCCAUCCUUCCUUCCUUUCUUCCUUCUUCCUAUCCUUCCAUACUUUCUUUCUUCCUCCCUUUCUUCCUUCCUGCCUUCUCUCCUUCCUUCCAAACUUCCGUUCCUUCCUCCCAUCAUUCCUUCCUUCCAUCCAUCUGUUCCUCCCUUUCUUUGUUCCUUCCAUUCUUCCUUCCUUCAAUAAUUCAUUCCUUCCCCUCUCUCUUUUCUUUAUUUCUUUCUUUCUUUCUUUCUUUCUUUCUUUUUUGCACUCAGAGUUGAGCUUAUAGAAUACUACACAUUUAUAUACUUGGAUUUCAGCUUUCGACAACUUUAGUCAAGGGCUGAUUCUGAUCAGUCUCAUCACCUUUAUUCGAGAACUCUGGGAGUUGGAGUACAGCAGCACACUAGAAGUCACAGUAGCCCAGUCUUGUUAUAAAGAGAUGUUGCACUGAGGUUAUCCGAAGGCUUAUGCCCUGCUCAGCAUGUUAACAAAUAUCUGCACCACAAGCACGAUACUGUAACCUCUAUGGCCCAGUUAUAAAAGAUGAAUGUCAGCACCUCUGGGAUUCAUUCAGAUAGCUGUAGUUUUUUUUAUUUAUUUUUUAAUUGUCAUUCUUUUUUUCUUGUUAACUAAGUGAUUCUUCAACAAUGUUCUAUUAAUUAGUGCAGAUCAUUAACAUCUUCUUUCCUGGAGUAAUUUGUUAUACCUAAUAGGGAAACAAGAGUUCUUACCGUGAAACACAAUACAUUGUUUUAUAAAACAAAUACUGCCUUACAAUGUUUAAAAUGUGGUUGAAAGUAAUUAAAUAUGUUUCUAAUACUUUGCAACAUAUGAUAAAAUCUGUAGCAGCCUUCAAAUGGGCAAGAAUGCAUUAUGAUAGAUUGAGGCUGUUUUAAAUGAGUGGGCGUCCAUUUCUGUAUUGCGAGAAAAAGGUAUAUCAAACAUCGAGUUAACUGACAGCCUGACCUAAGCCCCCUAUAACCUUUUUUACUCCUUAAUGUCACCUGCAUCUCACGUUCAGGCUAUACUUCACACUCUUCCAUACACUGAAGCUGCAUGAUUUCCUGGGAUUAUUUCAGAUGGAUGACGCUACCCUUUAAACAUAACGUCCCUAAUGUGCUGCAUUCUGUGAGCAUCCGCACCAUGAUGGCCUAUGUGCGUCAAUAAUAUCAUGAUGCACACAUUCUUGGUGUCCAAGAAUGAAAUUGGCCAAUGGCAGACUGUAUACUGAUCAGCCACAACAUUUAAACCAUUGUCAGGUGAAGUGAAUAACAUCGAUUAUAUUGUUACAAUGGCACUUGUCAAGGGGUGGGACAUAUUAGGCAGCAAGUGAACAAUCAGUUCAUAAAUGUUUUGUGUUUGAUGCAGGAAAAAUGAGCAUGUGAAAAGAUCUGAGUGUCUUUGAUAAGGGCCAAAUAGUGAUGGCUAGACCACUGAAUCAGAUCAUCUCCAAAAUGGCAAGUAUUGUGGGACUUUCCCAGUAAGCAGUGGAUAGUACCUACCAAAAGUGGUGCAAAGUAGGGCAACUGGUGAACAGGGUCAUAGUUGCCCAAGGCUCAUUGAUGAAUGUGGGAAGAGAACACUAGCCUGUCUUGUCUGAUCACACAUUGUAGCUCAGAUUGCUAAAAACAUAAUGCUGGUCAUGACAGAGAGCUGCCAGAACACACAGUGCAUCGCAGUUGGCUGCGUAUGGGGCAACAUAGCCACAGACCAGUCAGAGUACCAUGAUAACCUCUGUCAAUGGAGACAUGAUCACCAGAACUGGACCAUGGAGCAAUGGAAAUUUACCUAUUCUGAUGUUCUGCUGGGAAACCUUGGAUCCUGGGAUUCCUAUGGAUGUUACUUUGACAUGUACCACUUAACUAGAGAUUGUUGCAGAGCACAUACACCCCUUCAUAUCAAUGGUGUUUCCUGAUGGCAGUGGCCUCUUUCAGUAGGAUAAUGCACCUUUCAGCUGCAGGGUUGAAAUAGGGGUGACGUUUAGAAUGAAAUAGGAAGUAUCAGAACUUAGACCAGAGCUGUAACCCAAAUGGGUAAAACCAAGCCGAGAGGGUAAGCCAAAUCAUAAACCAAAACACAAGCUUGCAUAGAGUGUUGCCGUGGGUUACCACAGCAAUGUUGCGAUGCUGCACUAUGCCGGGGCUACUUACAAGAGCUUGCAAUAAAGCUGAAAAAAACAAUAAUGAUAAAAAUUAUGAAACUGCUCCUCCCACUACCACAGAUCACAGCCACGACCAGACCUUACAAAUCCAAACACAUAUACGCAAUACACACACUAAACACAUACUGCAUUUAUUAUACACACAAUUCCUCCCUUACACACACACUGCAUCCCCUAUACACACACACACACUGCAUCCACUAAUUACACACACACUGCAUCCCCUACACACACACACACACUGCACCCCCUAUACAUGCACACACACACACACACACACACACACUGCAGCCCCUAUACACACAGACACACACACACACUGCAUCCACUAGCUACACACACACUGCAUCCCCUACACACACACACACACACACUGCAUCCCCUAUACACACACACAUAUCCAUUUGAUGUUCUUAGCCAGAGAUGCCUGGUGACCACACAGAGCCCAGCGCGCAGGGGAAAGUAAGGGAAUUUUAAGAGUUUUUUUUACAAUAUCUGGGGAAGGCAGAAUAUAGAAAUAGGCAGGAUAACACUAUAACAUUAGCAAUACAUAUUUGUAUUCCUAACACUAUAGUGUUCCUUUAAGGCCUAAAUAGCUAAACUAACAGAAAUGACUUGAAGAGAGGAACUUUGCAAGGUUCCAGAAACAUUGGGGCCUGAGUUCAAAAGAAAACUUGCUGACUCCUGCACUAACAGAGAGGUUGGGAUAUGCCAUUAUUUGUUCUUACUUUUCUAUAUUAUGUGUCCACCUCUCAACCCAUAAACGGUAUUCUGACGAUGCUCUCUGGGAUCUCAAUGAAUGUAUAGCUGGAAACAGGCACAUGCUGCACAGCUAAAGAUGCAAUGUGAUCCUGCCAUACUACCUAACGAAUACAGGAGUGUGCAACAAUCAAAACUGUUCCCCAGCACCCAUCAGUCACCUGGAGGGCACUCUAUUACUAAUCUUUGGUUUUAUAAUAGCUGCUUUAAAAAAACAGCUGUCUGAUGUAAAGUUAAAAAUGGUGAAAAAUACUUAAAUUCCCCAGCACCCUUCACCAAUUGUAGAGGUCCAUGGCUAUAGAUCCCCACAACUAAGGCUUCAGCCCCCCCCACCCCACUCAAUGCCAAUGCUUGGAGAAUUUUUCUAUUUCCGUUAAGUUAAAUUUUGAGAUUCAGCAGUUCACACUAUAGUAAAUAACCCUCAAUGUGUUCACAUGCUCUAAAGCUGCCGCUAGGAAUGAUCCCUCAAUGAAAGAACAAUUACUAACUUGCAAAACGACAUAUCAAUGUAUUGUGCACCUGAGGUAUUUGUCAGAAAAAGGAUUAGCAUUCAAAUGUUUAAAGCAUGAUUUUGGAUCUGCAUCAUCUCAUGUAAAUCCAGCGGAACUAAUCCCAUGCAAAGAAAAAUAUCUAGCUUCCUUCUUACAUCUUGAUAAGGCGAAUUAACAUGAAAGUCUCGGGACUUGGAAAAAAAUAAUAAUUCAUCAGCCUUAUUAAAUAUUCAUUGCAUUAUCUAUCGAUUGGAAUUUUCCCCCCUGUUGCAUAUGAUUUGUACAGACACUAGGGUUUUCUCAAAGCCUGAUAAUUAUAUAGUCGGUGUUGAUGGGAAGUAUUUUUAUGCAUCAAAAGUGUAAUUUACAGAAUCUACUUAAUAAACAGUUAGCAAGAAUAUAGCAAAUAGCUUCUGGGCCUAUUAAAUGGAUGCUUAGUUACAUAAGUCCCAGAUCACUAAAACACAGCCAAUUAUGGUUUGAUUUAAAAAAAAAAAUACAAAUUAAUUCACAGGCAGCGCAUUAUGAGACACCAUGAUAAAUAACUGUUCAAAUGCGCACAGUCUGUCUAAAUUUACAAACACAGUUGAUAACUCCCUCAAUCCCUCAUUGCAAGUAUUGCAAUUGCAGAAGUCAACUGAAGUGAAAUGGUUUUGUUUUUAUUUUGUAUUAGUGUGGUAUACAUUAUGUGUAAAAACAUUUGAGCUACAAAGUUAAAGUGGCAUCGAAGGGGGCAUAUCCUCUUAGAAUGUGCUGUAGUUGCAACAGUUGCUACUACUGCUGAGCACUGGUGUUACACCUGUCAUGGAUAGACACAGGCCAGGUAAGGGCCCCCUUGCAAAAAAAUUGUCCCUGCGCCACUUGCAAAACUGUUAUAUGGUUGCUCAAGGUUUUAAACGGUUCCUCACAAUAGGUUAGUGUUCAAACUAAAAGAAAUUGGUUUAGAUGAAAAUUCUUUUUUUUGGGUAGAACAUUGGCUUAAGGAUAGAGUACAAAGAGUUGUUAUUAAUGGUACAUUUUUAAGCUGGACAAAAAUAAUAAAUGGUGUCCCUCAGGGUUCUGUUCUGGGAACACUUCUAUGUAACAUAUUUAUAAAUUAACUUGAAAUAGGCAUUGAAAGCCAUGUUUCAAUGUUUGCAGAUAACACAAAAUUAUGUAAAAGAAUACAAUGUAGUCAGAAUAUUACUGAGCUGCAGAGGGAUUUAGAUAGAUUGGGGGACAGGGCACUAAAAUAGCAAAUUAAAUUUAAUGAUGAAGAAUGCGAAGUUAUGCACUUUGGGGUAGAGAAUGCACAAGCAAAUUGCACCCUAAAUAACAGUGAAUUAGAGAUAACAACACACAAAAAGGAUUUUUAUAGACAACAAACUAGGCACCAAUGUGCAAUGUCAGUUAGCAAUUGCUAAGGCCAGUAAGGUAUUAAUAGGGGCAUCAAUUCUCGGGGUGAAAAUAUAAUUUUGCCUCUUUAUAAAUCACUGAUAAGACAACACCUUGAAUAUGCUGUGCAAUUUUGGGCACCUGUUUUAAUGAAGGAUAUUAUGGCACUAGAAAAAGUGCAGAGGUGGGCUACAAAAUUAAGAAAAGGAAUGGAGCAUUUUGGUUAUGAAGAAAGGUUAACAAAUUUAAAACAGUGCCUCAAUUGGGAUAUAAUAACAUUAUACAAAUAUAUUUGGAGCCAAUACAAACCAUUGUCUGGAAAUCUAUUCAUAAACAGGGCUAUACACAUUUAGACUAGAAGAAAGGGGUUUUAGUCUAAGGCAAAAGAAAAACAAUAAGGAUGUGGAAUUCUCUGUCUGAAGAUGUGGUUUUAUUAGAGUCUAUACAGAUUUCUAAACAGCAAUUGGAUAAAUACUUCCAAAAACAUAACAUACAGGGAUAUAAUUUUAAUUAGUUGGGUAAUAGCUUCUUGAUACAUUCUGUCAUUCUGGGGUUAAGAAGGAUUUUUUCCCCCUAGUUUGUUGCAAACUUGGAAGUUUCAAAUAGUUUUUUGUCUUCUUUUGGAUCAACAGUAAAAACAAAUAUGAGAAAGGCUAGACUUGAUAGAUGCACGUCUCUUUUCAGCUAUGUAACUAUGUAAUACGGCACAUAUUAAAUAACUAUUAAAUUAUCACAGGGAGCAUGUGGUCUGCAUGACUGGUGGGACAGACCAUUUUUGCUGGGCACUACCUCACUGUCCAGCAAACAUGGAGCCCGGUAUGCACCAUUAGAUGCAUUUAAAUGUACAUUUCACAUGUUUUGUACCAUGAUAUAUAUAUAUUUGCUGUUCCCUUGUACUCUAACUUGCACAGCUUUGUGAGACUCUCCUUGUUGUAUGUAUUUUUUUCCCCUCUACUACUUGUGGCCAUAUUGUGUACUGUCAUUAAUAAAAUAAUUUUUAAAACGUAUGUAAUAUUUGUUAGACAUUAACUUGUCUGUAAUUCUGUUAUAUUACACAGCACUGAGAAAUCUGCUGACACUUUAUACAGGAUAAAUUAUAAAUAAUACAGAUGAUUUUUUUUAAUUUAAAAUGUGGAGACAGGUGGCAGUGCUAACUGUUUACGAAUCAGCAAUAUAUAAGUGACAUCCACUCCAUUGUUUGCAAAUAUCAGCAUGGUUUUUGCACUUGGCAUUUUUGUUGUUGAGGUUAGCUCAGCAGUCUGGAGAAUUAUAAUCUGCCCCUUUAAAGUCAGCUGGUUGUCUGAUGAAACAGACAGCUAAGGGCACAAGGGAAUUGUAUCUUCUAUGGCUAAAAGGAUAAAAGGCUUUAAGAUUAAGAGAUCAUAGAUCGAGAUUAUCUUGUUACAUGUAAAGUGAAUGUUCCACAGCUGUAAAGAAAGGGUACAGAGGAGGGUCAGAGAGAAGGAAUAUCAGCUCGCUCCACUGGUUAACAUUCCUGUGUAUCCUUGAUUCUAUUGCAGUAGGUAUCACAGAGGCUAUGCUAUGUGUGUUUCCACCUGUGGAAUUAUUAGAAAUCCAACAAAAUCAUUGAUGACACCACCAAUCUCUACUGUCUCUUCAUUCCCAAAGGAAGCCUGAAUAUAACUUUGUUUUACAGCAGAUGCCAAGGUGGAUGUGGAAGCUAAUGCCAUUGCUCUGUGUAAACCUGCCAGCACCUGUCAGUUUGGGUACUAUUUGUCUGUUGCCCUCCAUGACAUGUUUGUAAUGGGCCUUUAUGAUGCCAUGAUACAGAAGUGGUUGCUGACAGUGGAUGGCCUUACUCUUACAAAAGCUACAGAUGUUGCCGCGGCCAUGGAGCUUGCUGCUAAGGAUUCUCAUCUAUUGCAUGCUCAUUAUAAAUCCACAACUGCUAGCAUUAAGGAGGAGGGAGUGUUGCGGACUACUAUUUUCACAACCAGGCCGUUACUCACAGCUCAAUGUGACAGGUACUGUACCUCAUAAACCCUACUGUUUUCGCUGUGGCAGUAUGACUCAUAAAGCUAUAGCCUGGAAAUAUAUAUAUAUUUAUAUAUAUAUAUAUAUAUAUUUGUGGUCAGAAUAUACCAGCCGAUAGAGUAUAAAUAUGAAUUUAUACUUAUGAACUUAAUAUGUACCAAAAGUCGGUUGGAGUGUGCCGGAACCGACGAGAGGUUAGGCCUGUAAUAAAAGAGGGCCCGCCUAGAUUGUAGUUAUGUUUAGAAGAGGGAGCGGUGGGAGGGUCAUUUCCCGAUGUUGCUACAGGUAAGGGGAGGAUUGCGUGGAGUUUUAAUAGGGAUUAAAAGCCCUCCCACAAUUCCAGGUUUCCCACCUUUUAUUUGUGGUCAGAAUAUACCAGCUGCUAGAGUAUAAAUAUGAAUUUAUACUUAUGAACUUAAUAUAUACUAAAAGUCGGUUGGAGUGUGCCAGAACCGACGAGAGGUUAGGCCUGUAAUAAAAGAGGGCAAAACGAUACAAUGCAAAUCAAACUUUAUUAAAACACUUCUCAUGUUAUUACAAAGCAAUCUCAUAGAAAGCCAAUCUAACUUUUUCAGAAGAUUUCCACCGUCCCAUAUUUUUAAUAAUGUGUGCGGGUGUAUUGUGGCUGGAUGCUGCAGUAGCAGCUCCUAUACGAAAUUAGUCCCCCUUAAAAGAUGCCAAAUUGAGCCCAAAUUUCACCAAAAUUGAUCUAGUGUACAACAUGAAUUUUUGGGUUGUAAGGGGUUUGCCAUGUAAUAAAAGUAGAGGUGAAGAGGGAUUAAGUUUACGGAGAGAAUCUUCUAACAUGUCAAAAACCUUAACUGGGCACCACUUAUUCCCUCUAGGGUAGUAUGAUAUCUGGACUGGGUGACCUAUUUGACUAGUUUUUGUAUGUUGCAAGGACAAAAUAUAAUAAUCAUGAAUCUCAAUUAAGUCUGAUAUCUUUAUGCAUAAAUCUAGGUCAGAUAUUUUAGUUACCGUAAAUGCUUUGGGUCUUAAGAAACCAUAAAAAGCCAGAUAACUGGCUGCUUUGAAAACCAAGUUAGUAUCUGGCUUGAAAGGGGCUGAAUCUAUAAUAUCUGAAAUACCAUGGGACUUACUGCUGUCGAUAGGGAGUCUUUUCGGAGGGGUCUCUAAUUUUAGUUUUACUAUGCUUUUCAAUAAGCUUUAAAUAGGAUUUGCGAAUAAAAAAGGCUUGUUGUUAGGAAAAGUGAUUAACAUGUGAUGUUGGAGCGGAUCCUGGUCAGACAACGAUCUGAAUAGAUGCGGAUCCACCUCCCCCCACCAGGGCCGGAUUAAGAGCACAGUGGGCCUGGUGCUGACAAUUAUGAUGGGCCUAAUUACGGAAUCUUAUCGACCAAAAACACUAAAACAAUCAUACCUCAUGUAUCUGAUGGAGAUGGUGCUGGAGGGAAACUCAUAGGAUGCAGCUAUAAGUAAACACAUACUCUAUGCUAAUUUCUCUCUAAUUUAUGCUUUCAUCUUUCAAGUAAAUCCAUACCCCCCCUAACAGCAGUGUCCAGUGAAGCAGGAAGACAAUGGGCGGGGUAAAAGGGUGUGCCACUGGCGCGAAUCACGUGACAAGGCCUGCCAAAAGGGGUGAACAUGCCCAAAAAGGGGCAUGUUUGUCCAAAGAAUUGGAAGGUCAGCCUGGCAUGAAUGCAUGUCAGGCUGCCUGCCAAUCCUGCAGGCUGUCCAACUAAGGGCAUACUAUGCAGGCAGCACUUUGAGCUUGACAUAAAUGCGUCUAAUGAUGCGCUCACUCCAUUCUUUCUAAGGACUGUCCCCUAGCACUCGCUGGUCCACUUGUCUCCUUACCUUCUUACUAGCAGGCAGAAGUUCCUGGUAUAUAGUCUGAGACAGAGAAAAGAUGUCUGUAGUGAGUGUAGAAGAAAGGGGACAUGCCACAGUGUUAGAGAGACCAACGUCUGCAUUACCUAAACUAACUUUAAUGUCAGCCAGUGCACACAAGUUUUGUUCCCAUACAUCCCUCUUAAGCUUCCAAACUUAAAGGGACACUAUAGUCACCAGAACAACUACAGCUUAUUGUAUUUGUUCUGGUAAGUAUAAUCAUUUCAUUCAGGCUUUUUGCAGUAAACACUGUCUUUUCAGAGAAAAUAACUCCACUGGCUGCUCCUUAGAUGGCUGCUAGAGGUGCUUCCUGGGGCAGUACUGCCUAGUGUGCAGCACUUCCAUCCAGUGUCUCCACCCUCUGCAUGCAGACACUGAACUUUCCUCAUAGAGAUGCAUUGAUUCAAUGUAUCUUUAUGAGGAGAUGCUGAUUGGCCAGGGCUAUGUUGGACUUGUGCUGGCUCUGCCCCUGAUCUGCCUAGUUGACAGUCUCAGCCAAUCCUAUGGGGAAGUAUUGUAAUUUGCUCAGACCACCACUUCUGAGCCAGCAGCUGCAGAAUUGAAAACAAGUAAUAUUUUACUAUAUUUAGGGAGGCAAGAAGGGCCCAGGGUGGUGGUUUUAACAUAAUAGGGUCAGAAAUACAUGAUUGUUUUCCUGACCCUCUAGUGCUCCUUUAAGCAAGAGUAUGUGAAGAGUAGUUAAGGUUGCCACCUUUCUUGGAAAAAAAUACCAGCCUUAAAGGACCACUAUAGUGCCAGGAAAACAUACUCGUUUUCCUGGCACUAUAGUGCCCUGAGGGUGCCCCCACCCUCAGGGACCCCCUCCUGCCCGGCUCUGGAAAGGGGAAAGUGGUUAAAACUUACCUUUUUCCAGCGCUGGGCGGAGAGCUCUCCUCCUCCGAUCCUCCUCUUCUCCUCCCAUGCGACUGAAUGCGGGCGCAUUCAGCCGGUCACAUAGGAAAGCAUUCAUAAUGCUUUCCUAUGGACGCUGGUGUGCUCUCACUGUGAAAAUCACAGUGAGAAGCACGCAAGCUCCUCUAGUGGCUGUCAAUGAGACAGCCACUAGAGGAUUAGGGGGAAGGCUUAACCCAUUCAUGAAUAUAGCAGUUUCUCUGAAACUGCUAUGUUUAUGAAAAAAUGGGUUAACCCUAGCUGGACCUGGCACCCAGACCACUUCAUUAAGCUGAAGUGGUCUGGGUGCCUAGAGUGGUCCUGUAAUCAUUUGUAUAAUUAAUUAGUUACGCGUGACAUCACGUGAUGUAAAUCACAAGGAGUGACAUCAGGGAAAAUUCUUUAAAAUCACCAAAUUACUCACAGUUUGAUUCUGCUGUAUAGAUGGAUUGCUCCCAGUGUCUCCCUGUCUCCCAGUGUCUCAGUCUCGCAAGUCACCCAGUGUCUCAGUGUCCCUAUGUAUCACAGUAACAGUGUCCCCAUUUCGCACAGUCCCCUAGUGUCUGUGUCCCCAUGUGUCCCCUAGUGUCUCAGUGUCCCCAUGUGUCCCCUAGUGUCUCAGUGUCCCCUAGUGUCUGUGCCCCCAUGUGUCCCCUAGUGUCUCAGUGUCCCCUAGUGUUUCAGUGUCCCCAUGUGUCCCCUAGUGUCUCAGUGUCCCCAUGUGUCCCUGCUGCCUUUUCCCUAUCCCUCACUUACUUGAGCUGUAGAGAUGCUGUCUGGACUCUCUGUGCUGUGUAGCUGCUCCUCCACGGAUCAGUGAGUAGCAGAGAGAGGCAGGGAUAUUCUGUAACUUCCUAUCCCUGCCUCUCUCCACACACAGUGACACCUACUGGCCAGUGCUGGUAUUGCAGAGUAAUUUCCAUUUAUUCUGAGAAAAUUACCUGCAUUUGUAUUGCCUGUAUUACUGCAAUACUGGCAUGGCAGCCUCAAAUACCAGCUGUGCCAGUAAAAUACCAGUCAGGUGGCAAACCUAAGUGUAGUGAGUGUAAAAAAAAAAAAAAAAAAAAAAUUUUUUUUUUUUUUUUUUUUUUGAAAUGGGCCUAUUCCAUGGGCCUGGGCCUGGAGCUGCAGCUCCAUCAGCCCCUAUGUUAAUCCGGCCCUGCCCCCCACCCCGACAUCACGCCAACACACGCACAUACGCUCCAGGGGGAGGAGGGGGGGGAAUCUCACGAGGAACCGAGCCCCGGCCCACACCCCCGGGAAGGAUGAAAUAGGAGGAAUUACAGCUAGAAGUAUAGGCGAGAUAAAAACCCGAACACGGGGACGCAGAAACUAUAAGGAGUUCCCUGGGGGGGACCGGGGGAGGGGGGUGGGAGGGAGCAAGCAGGACCCACGCACAUCAAGCAACCACCCCAUGGGGGGAGGGAGGGGACCGCCCCCCAGGCCACAACACUAAAUGAGAAGGUCCGAUGAAGCUCUAGAUGUACACCUAGGGGACUACUUACCCCAGUCAGACAUCAUCGAAUACAGACACUGGGAUGACCACUAGCCUCAGUGACAGGUACACCCUAGCUACACCAUUGUGGAAGGACAGGAAGACCCAUUCCGGAAACACUAAACCCAAAUCCCACACAGACACAUCCACCCCGGCUGACCGCCGCCCGACCACGCUUCCCACCACCUUUGGUGUUCACACUUGACACUGCGGUGUACGGACAGAGGACCCCGGGGCUUUGCCACGGAGGAACCACUGGAUACUACCGUAGGCACACAAACUCUCUCUCUUCGGAGAGGGCAACCCUCACCCACAUCUCGAGUAACGCAACACACCCGACACAUCUAACCACAGACAAACACACAAACACCCGCCACCCACCCCCUUGGAACACCUUACAAUCACCAUACACCGGCAGCAGACUACACGGCACACGGGACCAACAAAAACCCUUUAGACCGCAGAGAAGCGGGCACACACACACUUACUAGUCCACACAAACCACCCUCAUCUGUCCACUCGCUCCUCUGCACUCUCCCCCCCCCCCCGGACCGCGCCCACCUGGGAACCCUCACCGCUCUAAUAUAGAGGCCGCGGCGUCGGGCGGAACACAAGACUCCAGAGGAGGCUUCUCGUAUACUGAGAACAGGAGGGAGAGGUGCGGAGACUCGACGACUGGCCAGACAUUCGACCGAGGGACAAGCCCCUACAAGAUGGCAUACCGCCCAGACACGUUGAGAAUCCUCACGCAAAACUGCCGAGGACUGAACCUGCCGGAACGCCGUACCCAUCUCCUAAAGGAACUUUGGAGAGAGAGAACAGCUAUAGCCCUGUUACAAGAAACGCACUUCAGAGAGGGCUCAGCCCCCACUCUCAGAAACAAACACUACCCCACCAGCUACUGCAGCACUCACCCCACAGCUAAGAAGGCAGGAGUCGCAAUCCUGAUAGCAGCCUCAUUACAAUUCAAAGCACAGGACACACUCAUAGAUGAGAACGGCAGAUAUUCAUUCGUCAAGGGGGAGAUAUCAAACCGAAGAUAAACACUAGCCAUGAUCUACGUCCCUAACAACAACCAAUCUCGGUUCCUUAAAGGAACACUACGGAAACUGGCAGACUUCACGGAAGGAACACUGAUACUGGGGGGAGAUCUUAAUGUCACACUCGACCCACAAAUGGACUCCUCCACGGGACACAGCAGCAUCCCACAAAGAGAAAUAAAGCACAUUCACC